rnacentral:rRNA from 1 species
GGUGACAAACCGGAGGAAGGUGGGGAUGACGUCAAAUCAUCAUGCCCCUUAUGACCUGGGCUACACACGUGCUACAAUGGACAGAACAAAGGGCAGCGAAACCGCGAGGUUAAGCCAAUCUCACAAAUCUGUUCUCAGUUCGGAUCGCAGUCUGCAACUCGACUGCGUGAAGCUGGAAUCGCUAGUAAUCGCGGAUCAGCAUGCCGCGGUGAAUACGUUCCCGGGCCUUGUACACACCGCC